ACACCAUCAAAUAAUAUUUUACAUUGAGUCCAAAUUUUUUGCAUUGCUGUUCAUGUCAGGUUUAUAUUGGAAUUAAUUCUCUAUGACCUCCUUUUUAAGCACUGCUAAAUAGAUAGUAAUCUUUCUUUCUAUAACAGUUGAGUUUAAAUUGCUUUUCUUAAUUUUCUCUGACAGAGAACAUUAUUUUUUAUUGUUGUAAACAAGCUAUAUUCUACAUAUUUAAUUAUUUGGAAUUUGAUUUGUGUAUAUUUUUCAGUGGAAGCUAACUUCUUCCUAAUGUCUCCAUCUACAUUUCAUAUUUAUUCAUCCAUUCACAUAUUCAACAAAAUUUGAGAAUCUGUUUUUGGGCUUUUAAUACUCAUCUUAUUCAUUUUACUAUUUAUGUUUUUAUUUCUUUAUUUAUUUAGAAACUGGUUCUCACUUAGUUGCCCACGUUAGAGUGUAGUGAUGCCAUCAUAGCUCAUGGCAGCCUCAAACUCCUGGGCUCAAGUUUGUUAAUUUUAUUUUAAAUGUCCACACAGUGUUCUCAGUCAGAAACAGAUUUCUUAAUAAUGUGUGUUGGCUGCUCCUUUUCCCAGUUCUUAUCUUUGGACAGUAUAAAGAGAUCCAGAUCAUCCUAGUGAGAGGCCAGACUCUCUGAAAGCAAGAAGUUAAGAACAAUGGUUUUUUUCCUUGUCUUUGUUUUUAUACUUAUAAUAGGACGGAAACGGCUGUUUUUCUGUCCUUCUAAGAGGAUAUCUUCUUUAUUCCAAACUUUUGGAAUGUUGUAAAAUCUCUCCUGGAACCAAAUAACCCUGUAUCUCCAAGUUUUUAUGACCUAUAGCUGUCUCCAAAUUCUGGAACAUCAUAUCUUUUGACAUAUGAAUACAAAAACCUAGUCUUCCUCUUACCCUAGUACUUAACCUAGGAACCUAGUAAUCUAAGGAUUUUAAAAAUUUGACCCUCUUAGGGGAGUAAAAGAAGUUUUCCUAUUGUUGCAAAUCAGAGAAAUUAACUGGACAAAGGGCUACAGAUCUAAUUCUCUCAGUGUGUGAAGAGUCUCAAGAAGCUAGUGCUUUGAGAGAAUCCAUGAGAAACCCAGGGACCUUUAAUAUCUCCUCAUUAUUAUUUGCAUAGCACACUACCAGGGGAGAUGGAGAAUUAAAAUAAUAAUAUAUUUUAAUAACUUUAAGUUCUCUUAAAUCAUAUGGUUUUUUAAGGAUAAAAAAAAAUCCUGGAUAUCUAUGGCUAUACUUAGACAUAUGUAAUAUACAUAUAUAACACAAUAACUUUUGGGGAACAAGUGGUUUUUGGUUACAGAGUGGUAAAGUCUGAGAUUUUGGUGCCCUUGUCACCCAAGUAGUGUACAUUGUACCCAAUAUGUAGUGUUUUAUCCCUCACCCACCUCCUACUCUCCCCCUUAGUGGUCUCCAAUGUCCAUUAUACCACUCUGUAUGCAUACCCAUGGCUUAGCUACCACUUAAAAGUGAGAAUAUAUGAUAUUUGGUUUUCCAUUCCUGAGUUACUUCACUUAGAAUAAUGGCCUCCAGCUCCAGUUGGAGUUGCUGCAAAUGACAUUAUUUCAUUCUUUUUAGGGCUGAGUAGUAUGUCAUGGUGUAUGUUUACCACAUUUCUUUAUCCACUCAUUGGUUGAGGAGCACUUAGGUUGGUUCUGUAUCUUUGUAAUUGUGAAUUGUACUGCAAUAAACAUAUACAUGCAGGUGUAUUUUUGAUACAAUGACUUUUUUUAAUUUGAGUAGUUAACCAGUAGUGGGAUUGAUGGACUGAAUGCUAGAUCUACUUUUAGUUAUUUCAAAAAUCUCCAUAAUGCUUUACAUAAAGGAUGUACUAAUUUACAUUCCCACCAGCAAUGUAUAAGCAUGCCCUUUUCACCACAUUCAUGCCAAAAUCUGUUUCUUUGUUUUUUUUGACUUUUUAAUAAUGGCUAUUAUGCUGGGAAAAGAUGGUAUCUCACUGUGGUUUUAAUUUGCAUUUCUUUGAUGAUUAGUGACAUUGAGAAUUUUUUAUAUGUUUGUUGGUCAUUUGUAUAUCUUCUUUUGAGAAAUGUCUAUUCAUGUAAUUUUUUUUCACUUUCUGUUGGGAUUAUUUUUUCUUGCUGAUUUGUUUUCCUUGUUAAUUCUAGAUAUUAAUUAUUUGCUAGAUGCAUACUUUGUAAACAUUUUCUUCUAUUCUCUGAGUUAUCUGUUUACUGUGAUGAUUAUUUCUUUUGCUGUGAAGGUUUUUAGUUUACUUAUGUCCUUUUUAUUUAUUUUUGCUUUUGUUGCAUUUACUUUUGGAGUCUUAGUCAUAAAGUUUUGGCUUAGGUAAAUAUCCAGAUGUGUUUUUCUUAGUUUUUUUCCAGAAUUUUUAUGGUUUUGGGUUUUAUAUUUAAGUCUGAUCCAUCUUCUAAUUUUUGUAGAUGGUGAGAAAGAGUGAUCCAGUUUCAUUCUUCUACAUGUGGCUGUCUUGUUUUCCCUGCAUCAUUUAUUGAAUAGGGUGUCCUUUCCUAUUUAUGUUUUUGAAUGCUUUGUGGAGGAUCAGUUGGUUGUAUACAUUUGGCUUUAUUUCUGGUUUCUCUAUUCCUUUCCUUUGGUUUAUUUAUCUACCUUUAUACCAGUACCAUGCAUGCUGUUUUGAUUACUAAAACCUUGUAUUAUAACUUGAAGUCUCUUAAAACUAUGCCUCUGGAUUUGUUCUUUUUGCUUAGAGUUGCUUUUUUAAUUCAAGCUUAUUUCUGGUUUCAUAAGAAUUUAGAAUUGCUUUCUCUAAUUCUAUGAAAAAUGAUGUCAGUAUUUUGAUAGGAAGUGCAUUGAAUCUGUAGAUUGCUUUUAGCAGUAAGGUCAUUUUCACAAAUAUGAUUCUUCUUAUCCAUGAGCAUGGGAUGUAUUUCCAUUUGUUUAUAUCAUCUCUAAUUUAUUUCAGCAGUUUUUGUAGCUCUCCUUAUGGAGAUCUUUCACUUAUUUGGUUAAGUGUAUUUCAAUUUUUUUUCUGCUGCUAUUGUAAAAGAAAUUGAGUUCUUGAUUUGAUUCUCAGCUUGAUCAUUGUUGGUGCUAUGCAGUAGUACUAAUUUGUGUACAUUCAUUUUGUAACCUAAGAUUUUAUGAAUUCAUUCAUCAAAUAGAAGAGUCUUUUGGUGGAAUUCUUAGGCUUAUCUAAGUAUAUGCUUAAAUCAUCAGCAAACAGAGAUAAUUUGUCUUCCUCUUUUCCAGCUUGGAUGCCCUUUAUUUCUUCCUCUUGCUUGAUUGCUCUGGGUAGGACUUCCAGUACUAUGUUAAGUAGAAGUGGUGAAAAUGGGCAUCCUUAACUUGUUCUAGCCCUCAGUGGGAAGACUUUCAACUUUUCCCCAUUCAAUAUGAUGUUGGCCAUGGGUUUGUCAUAUAUAGCUUUUAUUAUUUUGAGAUAUGUUUAUUCUAUGUCUAGUUUGUUUAGGGUUUUUAUCAUAAAGCAAUGCUGGAUUUUACUGAAUGUUUUUAUGCAUCUAUUGAGAUGAUCAUACGUAUUUGGUUUUUAAUUCUGUUUAUAAAAUACAUCACAUUUAUUACCUUGCGUAUGUUGAGUCAUCCUUGCCUCCCUGGGAUGAGACUCACUUGAUUAUAGUGAAUUGUCUUUUUGAUAUGCUUUUGGAUUUGAUUUGCCAGUAUCUGUUAAGAAUUUUUGCGUAUGUCUUUAUCAGAGAUGUUCAUUUGUAGUUUUCUUUUUUUAUGAUAUGCCUUUUUCUGGUUUUGGUAUCAGGGUGAUACUGGCUUCAUAGAAUGAGUUAAGGAGGAUUCCCUUUUUCUCAGUCUUUUAGAGUAGUUUCAGUAGGCUUGGUACCAGUUCUUCUUUGAAUGUCUGAUAGAAUUUGGCUGUGAUCUGUCUGGGUUUUUUAGUCGGCAUUUUUUUUUUCUUACUUAUACAAUCUCACUGCUUGUUAUUGGUCUGUAAGGAUACCUAUUUCUUCCUGGUUUAAGCUGGUAGGGUUGUAUGUUUCCUGGAAUCUAUCUAUUUUCUUUACUUUUAUUUUUAUGUGCAUAGAGGUUACAUAGUAGUCUCAAAUGAUCUUUUAUAUUUCUGUGAUAUUGGUUAAAAUGUUUCCAUUUUCAUUUCUAAUUGAGCUAAUUUAAACUUCUAUCUUCUUAAUUGUUCUAACUAAUGUUCUAACUAAUUGUUAGAACAAUUGUUAAUCGUUCUAAUUGUUAGAACAAUUGUUAAUCAUUCUAAUUGUUAGAACAAUUGUUAAUUGUUCUAACAAUCUUAAUUCUUCUAACUAAUGAUCUAUUUUAUUUCUAUUUUCAAAUAACCAAAUUUUGUUUCAUUAAACUUUUGUAUUUUUAUUUCAAUUUCAUUUAGUUCUGCUGUAAUCUUUCUUUUCUUCUCCUGGCUUUAAGUUUGAUUUGUUGUUUCUAUAGUUUCUUGAGGUAUGACAUUAUGUUGCGAAUUUGUAAUCUUUCAGACUUUUUUACGUAGGUGUUCAGUGCUAGAAACUUUCCUUUUAGCAUUGCUUUUGCUAUGUCCCAGAGGUUUUGAUAACUUGUGUCACUAUAAUCAUCCAUUUAAAGAAUUUUUUAAUUUCUUUCUUCAUUUCAUUGUUAACCCAGUAAUCAUUAAGAAGCAGAUUGUUCAAUUUCCAGGAUCUUGAGAUGACGUCAUACUGGAUGAUCCUAGUGCACCCUAAAUCCAAUAAGUGUUCUUAUGAAAGACAGAAGAGGAGAAGAUACAGGAAAUAGAAGAAGGCUACUUGAGGAUGGAAGCAGAGAUUGGAGUUAUGCAGCUACAAACCAAAGAAUGCCUUGAGCCACCAGCAGCUGAAAGAGCUAGUCAGCAAUACAACUGGGAUUUGAUAUCAGAUUCAUACGAUUCCGAAGACCCUGACCACCAAAUGCAAAAGGUACAUGGCAACAGCUGAUUGCAAUGAGAGAAAAACAACUAAUAAGGCAACAAGCAGGAUACUAAGAUAUUUUCCAAAAUGAAUAGCACUGAUUCUGUGAGGAAUGAACAUUGCCAAACAAGUGUUUUGUUUUGUUUUUCAACUCCUCUAAAAAAAUUCACAUAUAUGCAUGCCACUUUCCUGAAAAAUAUCUGCCUCAUAAUUGCCAUAAGAAACGGUAUGGACAACUCUUAAACAUUCUGAAAGUAGUCAGGGAUGGGGGAAAGCAUUUGCUGUUUUAGUCUGUUCCUGGUCUUAUAACAAAUACCACAAACUGGGUAAUUUAUGAUUACAGAAAUGUAUUUCUGAAAGUUCAGGAGUUGGGAAGUUCAAGAUUAUGGCACCAACAUAUUCAUUGUCUGAUGAGGGCCUGUUUCACAGAUGUCAUUUUGCAUGACUUAAUCACAUGGUAGGAAAAGCAAAGGGACAAAAUGGACAAAUGCCAUGUUGUCACAUGGCAGAAGAAAUGGAAGAGCCAGGAAGCUCUCAGAAGCUUCCUUAAUUAGGAUAUUAAUCUCAUUCAUGAGUGCAUAGCCAUCAUGACUUAAUUGCCUCCAAAGGCCCCACUUCCUCAUCACUUUGAGGAUUAAACUUAAACAUGAAUUUGGAGGAAAUAUAUCCAAACUCUAGGACUAGUUUAAAUGUAGCUAAAAAGGUUUCUUCAUUCUGUAAUCGUUAAUAUGCUAAUAUUUUUGUAAAUAUCCAAGAGGAAGCUAAAGCAUAUAAUAUUCCAAAAUUUAUUUCUGUUUGUGGAUAUUAUGUUUUCCUCUCAUUCUAUCUUAAGAAAUUAGUGUCCUCAAGAAACACUAUAUAGGAUAAUUGUCUUUCAAGUUCAUCAACUACCAGUUCUUGAUUCUUCAGUAGCUAAUCCUAGAUAGUAAUACUUAACAGAUUAUAAAAACUUGGGUGCUGCUAUAUAAAUGCGCUGAAACUCCCAGGGAACCAAACAUAAGGACUUAAAGAGAGAUGUAACUAGGGAUCAUAAUCAUGAAUUUCAGCUGCUUCUCUAUCUUUGUCAGUGAGCAAAUGACCAUACAAAAUAAGGUAUUCAAUUAUUAAUUCUGUGCCCAUAUCCCGGAAUUUUGCCCAAUAUAUUUGUAAGUUUAGAUAAAUAAGGCACUAAUGCCAGGGAUAUGUAGCAUUAGUUCUGGGUUUAUAAAGGGAUAUUCACAACCUCUUGCCAUCCACAGAAUUUAUCAGCCCAAAGUAAACUAUACUCGUUGGUUAAGGGCAACCUGAGACAUGUUUAAAACUGAGGUGGACUGAAGAGUCAACUAAUUGCAGGAAUCUUUUAUUUGGUUGAAAUGUUCAAACAAGUCCCACUCUGAAUUCUAUUAGAAGUCCAUCAUUGGCUUCUCUCUCUUUCUCACUGUCUUAAAUCAUGUAUUUUAUAACACUAUGAAGAAUGAAGUUCAAAAGAAUAAGCUAAAUUUAAUUAAUUAAAUUAUUUAUUUAUUUAUUUUGAGACAGAGUCUCACUCUGUCACCCAGGCCAGAGUUCAGUUGCACGAUCUUGGCUCAGUGCAUCCUUCACCUCCUGGGCUCAAGAGAUCCUCCUGAAGCAGGGCAUUUCCCUGACCCCUUCAUGGGACUCGUGACAGGGGUGCCCCAUUUACUCAGCCCACUGCUCUCAACUCCUCAAGGGAGGGAGUGCGCAAUUGAACAAGGCAGGAACUGGAGUACACGAGUGCUGGAACCAGUGGCCUCUUUGGUGCCAGAAGGAGUGAACUCACCCACUCUGACCUGCUGUGUUCCACCUCUUGCAGGAGAGAGCAUGCAGGUGAGCAGGUACAGGAGCCAGGAAGAGAGCUUUGGGGUGUUGGCAGGAGCAAACUCCAUGUGGGCCCCAUAGCAGCCCCUGGGGUUAGGGGGGUGCCUGUGAUUCCUGAAGCCCCAGUGGGCAUAUUACAGUGCUCCUUUAGCUCUGCCGUCUUCAGACAGCUGAAGUGUUAGCAGCUCAGCAUGCCUUUUUGUAUCCACACUCACUCCUGAGCUCUUGUUUGGCAUCCAGGAAAAAAUCAGCUCACAGAAACGAAUUGAAGGAUGGUAAAUGCAGAGGAUUUUAUUGCCAAGGAAAGUGGCUCUCAGCAGGAAGGGCAGCUGGGAAGGAGAUGUAGCAGGAAGGUUUCUGGCUGGACUCUUCUCCAAAGUUGCACUGUCAAGCUGUCUCUCUGAAAUCAAGCUGCUUCUCUCCAACGUCCAACCGUAGUCUCUGAUGCCCAGCUGCUGCUUCUCUUUUGAUGUUCAGCUGCUUCUCUUUUUUGCUAGCUGAGUCUGGGGUUUUUAUGGGCACAGGAUGGGGGACAGGGGAGGUCAUGGGUAAUUUUGUAAAAGGCAACAUUUGAGUGGGAAAACAGGAAUGUAUGUUCUCACUUUGGGCUUUGGUUCCAGGCUUGAGGGUGGAGCCGUUGCCAGGGACCUGCCCUCUUUUGCCCAGAAUUUCCCUGCCUCCCUUCCCUUUCACUCCCACCCCAUCACUCCCACCUCAACAUCCUGAGUAGCUGGGAUUAUAGGCGCACACCACCGCAUCUGAUUAAUAUUUAAAUUUUUUGUAGAGACAGGGUUUUGUCAUGUUGCCCAGGCCGGUCUCAAACCCUGGGCUCAAGUGAUUUGCCCACCUCAGCCUCCCAAAGUUCUGGGAUUACAGGUGUGAGCCAGUGUGCCUGGCCCUAAAUAAUAUUUAUAUGGGCAUUUUGUAAUUAUUAUUUUUUAAUAAUAUAAAUGUUUCCUUUUUAAUAUGAAUUUUUCAAGAGUUUUAUAAUUGACUGAUUAUUCAUUAAAAUUUAAUGAAGGACAGGAAUUGGCUAUUUUUCUGAAUGACAAAAAUUAGGAAAUUUUUAGAGAGAUGAUGAAUUUAUCCUAGAAUAUAUGGAAAGAGUAAAUCUUGUUAUAUAGAACAAGCAACUUUCCAAUCCGAAGGAUCUUAGAAUAAUAAAAAUUUUUUUUCUUAUAAUUGUUUUCUUAUAAUUGUUUCAAAGUAAUACUUUAGACCAAAAAUUGUAUAUCUCAGUAGGUGGCCUAUAUGAUAAUUAAAAAAUUAAAAGCUAAGUUAAUUAAAUUUUUAAUUAAUUUAAUUUUUAUUAAUUUUAAUUAUCAAUCUUCAUUGAAGAAUUUUGUCCAAAAAAUGUGGACAAUAUGUGUCAUAAGGAUUAAUCACCAUAAAAUAGUCCCCAAAGGAAAUUAAAGGACUGAUUAGAUAGUACUAAAAUAACAAUCAUACAAAGUAGAAAGUGGUGUUAUAAGAGAAAUGUAGAUAAAAUAUUGUAAGAAACUAAAGUAGGAAGAUAAUGUUUUGAGUUGUGGGAGAUCAGGGAAGGUUUUUUGGAAAAAGUAACGUUUAAGCUAGAUCUUAGAGAGACAUGACUUAAUAGAAAAGUAGGCAAAAAAAUAUGAAUAACCCUUUCAGAUUACAGGCAAUACAAAUUAUGAUAAAUAUAAAAAAAUUCUUACUUCACUAGUAAUCAAGUAAUUGAAUUAAACAAUUGGAUACCAUUUUUUCUUCAGCAGACUGGCAAAACAUAAGAUGUUAACAAGGGUUUUGAGGGUACAGGGAAGAGGGUAGGCUCAAACUAUGCUGGUAUCAAUGUAUAACCAAGAUCUCCUUUGGAGUACAAUUGUUAUAUAGUCUACAUUCUGUAAAAACUAAACACAUAUGUUUGCCUUUCCACUUUUGGAAAUACAUGGUAGAUAAUCAUGCAAGAAUGUCAAUUGCAGUAUUGUGUUGUAAUUUUUAAAAAUACUCUAGAUAUUCAUCAAUAUAUAACUACAAAUAAAAAUAGUUGGACUAUCAUGCAGACUACAAUGCCUCUAUUGUGGCAUAAUAGUUAAUAAUACAAUCUCUGAGAGCAGAAUAUCUGGAUUUGAAUAAUUUGCUCUCCCUCUAAAUGACCUUGAGCAAAGUACUUACAAUCUUUUUCUCUCUUCCAUAAAAUGGAGAUAACAGCAUUGCCAAUUUAUUAGCUUGUCAUGAUGAUUAAAUGAGAUAAUCCAUAUAUCACACCAAGUACCCACUACGUAAUAAGCAACUAAUUAAAUUUGACUAAUAUUAAUAAUUUCAUUAUUAUUCAUCUUAAUAUCAUGGCAUGACUUCUAAGGUAUAUUAUUAAAUAGAAAAAGAUAAGUUUUAAACUGAGCCAUAGUUUAGAACUUGACUUAAAGCAGACUCACAAAGCAAAUGCUCAUAUCUAGGACAGGUAAAUCUACACGUGUUUAUACACACAUUCACUGUAUUUGGGGAAAAUACACACCAAACUGGAAACACUGGUUGUCUCUGAAGAAGAGACAGGGCUUUGGCAAUAUUCAAAUUAGGCUUUAACUGUUUCUGAAAGUUUCAGUUCUCUAUAAGGAGAAGGUAUUACUUAUGUAAUUUUUAAAAAUUACAUAUUAAGUACUAAAUGACUGAAGCUUCUUAGAAUUGAUGGGUGCAGGCAUCACAUGGGCAGCAAGGCAUUCACAUAAUGGAGAAUCAUGGUCUCCUGUAGAUGUCUAGGAGUGAUAAAAUUAACUACCUUUUAGGUGGUGUAGUUUCCUGGUUGAGCUGAUAAUUAUUAAGUUAAUGAUUAGUAGGUUAUUUCUCAACACCGAAGAGAUUAUUAGUGUUUCAAAGUUUUCACUGUAAUUCAUCUGUAAAACCAUUCAACCUACCUCCAGUACACCUCAGUAAUCUGGUGACAAGAGAGUAUUCUUGCUCACUUUAUUUACUCUUCAGUGAUCUAAUGCCAAUAAUGCCAGCCUAUAGAAACAACAGCCAAUUAUAACAAAAAGCACAUUAGAAAGUCAAAUAUAGCUGGGUAAUAGACAUAAAAAUACCUUAUUAACAUUUUUAUAACACUCUGAACUGAAAUAAACAGACCACUCUCGAUUUUAGCAUCUGGUUCCAAACAAUUCUUGUUUGGGUGAUAACUUUUUAAAAACAAAUGUUGGGCAUCUUUCAUCGACUUUUCAUCAAGUAACAGCUGUUCCUUUAGAGCAAAAUGUAUGCAUGUUGGAAGUGUGACUGAUGCUCACUUCUGUUUUGUUCUGUGUGAGAAAGCUUUAUGUUGGGUGCAAUUCAGAAAACAAAUGGUUUCAAAUCUUUUGAAUAGAUGCCAUAGCACAGUUUAAAUGCAGCUUCUUGUGAUUUUUAGAAUAAUUUCAGCCACAAUUUUUACAUUCAAUUUAUAACUAUACUAAGACAUUCUCCUUCAGAACAAAGGCAUUUCUGUUUUCAUGUGCUCUUGGGCAUCUUCGGGUCAUUCAUUAUAUCAAUCAUUUAUCUUCGUAAAGCGUUUGGCUAUGAACAAUUACUUACUACACCAAAGCAUGAAAGAAAUAGAUAUAGCUCAUCUGCUCUUGAAUGCAUUUCUACAGAUUCCCUUAGGAUAAUUCCUGUUUCAACUUAAGCUAUUAAAUUUUUUGCUGCAUUCAAAUCACCUCAUCUGCUGAAACAUGUGGAGACAAAUAACCACAGACGUUUGCAUGAAGGUUCAGGUGUAUUUAAGGGCAGCUUAAUUAUAAGACACUAUGAAAUUCUCCUAAUUAAUUUGGAGCUAAAUAUUCUACAUCAAAUAUUUUACAAAACUUAAAGAAAUAUUUACUUUUCACAUGAUUACGAUUUUGAUACUAGGUUAAAAAUGACUUAUACUGGCAUUUUUUAAACAGUUUAAGACAAAUAAUGUUUUUGAUACUGUUUAUUAUAACAUAUGAAAAGUCUUUAUGCAGAUAUACUCUAUUUUAUCGUCUGUUCAUUUCAUGUUGCAUUUGCAUGCACUCCUGAAUUACUUGUUACUAAAACAUACAGAACAGACAGAAAGUUAAAAUUGGUUAAUUUCUAUCUAAUCUGGAUAAGAUAAACACAAUGAGUGAAAUAAAUAAUUAUGUCAAAUAACAAAAACCUCAUGCAUAGAAACUUCAACAUUUCUGAAUAACAAAAAGUAUAACAUUAUGUAGGGCAAUGUUCCACUUUUGUAUCAACUAGAAAUAAGCCCUGAAUCUGAAUGAUGAAAUUUUAAUAGUAACUGUUGACCACAGGGCAGAGUUUACUCUCUUGGUCAGAUGCUUUUGUGAAUGACACAAACUGUGUGUCCAGAUCACUUUUCCCUAUAAUCACUUCAAAUUACUUGACUUUUUGAUCUCUUCCUUUUUUCUGUCUCUUUUUUGUCCACAACAGAUAUUCCAAAUAUCCACCGAGUUUUCAAAUACUCCAGUCCAUAUUUGGUCUUCCCAUUCCUAGCAGAAGUACUUUGUCUUCUACUUCCCAGAAUAAUGUUAAUUAUCUUAUUUUAGACUUGCUUGCUUUAAUUUGUAUUUAUUCUUGGCUUUUUUUCUUUCCAUCUCACAGGAUAAGAGGGCAUCUCUUCUUCCAUAUUCAUAAAUACGUUGCCAACAGGAAUUUGUUGUUAUUUACACUUUCUUCUCCUAGACAUUUUAAUUUUACUUACCUUCCCUGAGCACAUGGCAAAGUCAAAACACAAGCAGAAUCUUACUUAUGAAUAGAGGCAGAUUUAUUAAGCCAGGGGUAGGCAAACUAUAGCCAAUGAGCCAAAGCCAGGCUGCCACGGGUUUUUAUAAAUAAAAUUUUAUAGGAACUCAGCCACAGACAUUCCUUUACAUAUUGCCUACAGCUGCUUAAGCACUACAAAGGCAAAGUUGCAUAUUUACAACACAAAUAAUAUGGCCUGCAAGCCUAAAGUAUCUACUAUCGUGCCCUUUAUAGAAAAUGUUUAUCAGCUUUUGUUCUCUUAUCCUAAGUUAUGAGGCUUACAUUUCCGGCCACCUCAUUUGCAUUUGAGUUUCCAGUUUUGAGUUUGUAGUUUUGCAUUCUUGCUUAAAGAGCCCCAAACCCUGACCGCCAAAUUGAAUGUGCUGUAGAUCCCACAAAAUAUGGAUCCAAUCAAGCUGAUGCCAUGUCAUUAUCUGUAGCUUUUAUUCUUUGCCAUCACACACCUUCCUUGAACAGUUAGGCUUCUGCAAAAAAUCUUAAAUAAUCACUGAUAUGGGUUGGUUCUGUGUCUUCACCCAAAUCUCAUCUUGUAGCUCCCAUAAUUUCCACGUGUUAUGGGAAGGAUCCAGUGGGAGAUGUCUGAAUCAUGAGGGCACGUAUGUCCCAUGCUGUUCCCAUGAUAGUGAAUGGAUCUCACGAGAUCUGAUGGUGUUAAAAAUGGGAGUUUCUCCACACAAUCUCUUUUUUGCCUGCUGCCAUCCAUGUAAGAUGUAGCUUACUCCUUGCCUUCCACCACGAUUAUGAUGCCUCUCCAGCCAUGUGGAACUGUAAGUCCAACAAACCACUUUCUUUCGUAAAUUGCCCAGUUGCAGGUAUGUUUUUAUCAGCAGCAUGAAAAUGAACUAAUACAGUAAAUUGUUACCAGUAGAGUGGGGUGCUGGUGGAAACAUAUCCAAAAAUAUGGAAACGACAUUGGAACUGUGUAACAAGCAGAGGUUGGAACAGUUUGGAGGACUCAGAAGAAGACAGGAAAAUGUGGCCAAGUUUGGAACUUCCUAGAGACUUGCUGAAUGGCUUUGAACAAAAUGCUGACAGUGAUAUGGACAAUGAAAUCCAGGCUGAAGUGGUCUCAGCUGGUGAUAAGGAACUUGUUGGGAACCGGAGUAAAGGUGAAUCUUGCUACAUUUUAGCAAAGACACUGGUGGCAUUUUGCCUGGCCCUAUAGAUUUGUAGAACUUUGAACUUGAGAGAGAUGAUUUAGGGUAUCUGGCAGAAGAAAUUUCUAAGCAGGAAAGCACUUAAAAUGUGAAUUCGGUGCUGUUGAGGGCGUUCAGUUUUAUAAGGGAAGCAGAGCAUAAAAAUUUGGAAAAUUUGCAGCCUGACAAUGCAAUAGAAAAGAAAAUCCCAUUUUCUGAGGAGAAAUCCAAGCCAGCUAUGGACAUUUGCAUAAGAUAAUGGGGAAAAUGUCUCCAGGACAUGUCAAAGGUCUUUACCUCAGCCUCUCCCAUCACAGGCACAGAGACCUAGGAGGAAGAAGUGGUUUUGUGGGCUGGGCCCAGGGUUCCUUUGCUGUGUGCAGCCUAGGGACUUCAUCCCCUGCAUCACAGCAACUCUAGCUAUGGCUGAAAGGGGACAACAUAGAGCUCAGGCUAUGGCUUCAGAGGGUGCAAGCCCCAAGCUUUGGCAUCUCCCAUGUGGUGUUGAGCCUACAAGUGCACAGAAGUCAAGAAUUGAGGUUUGGGAACCUCUGCCUAGAUUUCAGAAGAUGUAUGGAAACGCCUGAAUGCCGAGGCAGGAGUUUGCCACAUAGGUGGGGUCCUCAUGGAGAACCUCUGCUAGGGCAGUGCAGAAGGAAAAUGUGGGGAGGGAGCCCCCACACAGAAUCCCUACUGGGGCACCACCUAGUGGAGCUGUGAGAAGAGGGCCACCGUCUUCCAGACCCCAGAAGUGUAGAUCCACUGACAGCUUGCACUGUGUGCGUGGAAAAGCUGCAGACACUUAACACCAGCCCAUGAAGGCAGCCAGGAGGGAGACUGUACCCUGCAGAGCCAGAGGGGUGGAACUGCCCAAGACCAUGGGUAUCCACCUCUUGCCUCAGCGUGACCUAGAUGUGAGACAUGGAGUCAAAGGAGCUUUAGAUUUGACUGCCCUUCUGGAUUUCAGAAUUGCAUGGGGCUUGUAGCCUCUUUGUUUUGGCCAAUUUCUCCCAUUUGCAAUGGCUGCGUUUACCCAAUCCCUGUACCCCUAUAACCCCAUUGUAUCUAGGAAGUAACUAACUUGAUUUUGAUUUUGCAGGGUCAUAGGUGGAAGGGACUUGCCUUGUCUCAGAUGAAACUUUGGACUGUGGACUUUUGAGUUAAUGCUAAAAAGAGUUGACAUUUUGGGGGACUGUUGGGAAGGCAUGACUGGUUUUGAAACAUGCAGAUAUGAGAUUUGGGAGGGGCUGGAGUGAAAUGACAUGGUUUGGCUCUGUGUCCCCAUCCAAAUCUCAUCUUCUAGCUCCCAUAAUUUCUGUAUGUAGUGGGAGGGACCUGAUGGGAGAAGACUGAAUCAUGGGGGCAGGUCUUUCCCAUGCUGUUCUCAUAAUAGUGAAUGGGUCUCACAAGAUCUAGUGGUGUUAAAAACAGGAUUUUCUCUGCACAAGCUCUUUUUUUGCCUGCUGCCACCCACAUAAGAUGUGUCUUGCUCCUUUUUGCCAUGAUUGUGAGUCCUCCCCAGCCAUGUGGAACUGUAUGUCCAAUAAACCUUUUUCUUUUGUAA